rnacentral:rRNA from 1 species
GACGAACGCUGGCGGCGUGCUUAACACAUGCAAGUCGAACGGUAAGGCCCUUCGGGGUACACGAGUGGCGAACGGGUGAGUAACACGUGGGUGAUCUGCCCUGCACUUCGGGAUAAGCCUGGGAAACUGGGUCUAAUACCGGAUAGGACCACUGCCUGCAUGGGUGGUGGUGGAAAGCUUUUGCGGUGUGGGAUGGGCCCGCGGCCUAUCAGCUUGUUGGUGGGGUGAUGGCCUACCAAGGCGACGACGGGUAGCCGGCCUGAGAGGGUGACCGGCCACACUGGGACUGAGAUACGGCCCAGACUCCUACGGGAGGCAGCAGUGGGGAAUAUUGCACAAUGGGCGCAAGUCUGAUGCGGCGACGCCGCGUGAGGGAUGACGGCCUUCGGGUUGUAAACCUCUUUCAGCACCGACGAAGCGCAAGUGACGGUAGGUGCAGAAGAAGGACCGGCCAACUACGUGCCAGCCGCCGCUGUAA